rnacentral:rRNA from 1 species
AUUGAACGCUGGCGGCAUGCCUUACACAUGCAAGUCGAACGGUAACAGGUCUUCGGAUGCUGACGAGUGGCGAACGGGUGCGUAAUACAUCGGAACGUGCCCGAUCGUGGGGGAUAACGAGGCGAAAGCUUUGCUAAUACCGCAUACGAUCUACGGAUGAAAGCGGGGGAUCUUCGGACCUCGCGCGGACGGAGCGGCCGAUGGCAGAUUAGGUAGUUGGUGGGAUAAAAGCUUACCAAGCCGACGAUCUGUAGCUGGUCUGAGAGGAUGAUCAGCCACACUGGGACUGAGACACGGCCCAGACUCCUACGGGAGGCAGCAGUGGGGAAUUUUGGACAAUGGGCGAAAGCCUGAUCCAGCCAUGCCGCGUGCAGGAUGAAGGCCUUUGGGUUGUAAACUGCUUUUGUACGGAACGAAAAGCCUCUUUCUAAUAAAGAGGGGUCAUGACGGUACCGUAAGAAUAAGCACCGGCUAACUACGUG